UUGGAGUUCUGUGUUUAUUUCAGAAUCCUCAAUAUAUAUUGGCCACCGAUAAGAAAUCCAGCUCGGAGACACCGUUAAAGAGGCUGAAACGGCUCCAUGAAAGUGUUCCAGGAGUACGGCUCAGGCAGAUGAACACACAAAGCUCUCUGCAUUAUUUGAAGAUUCAGUUUGAACUAGGUUGAAUUCAAAACAACCCGUGUUGGAGCAACUGUGCGCCCAAAAGCAAGCAGGAUCCCUGUGCUCUGUUCUCUCCCCACCUCAUCCGUGGGCCGGAACAUUUUUCCAGGAAAAGGUAGUCAACACGGAGAAAGCCACCACGCCAAUUUCUAGCCCGGAGAUGAAAAAGUAAAGAUUGAGGUUGAAGGC